rnacentral:rRNA from 1 species
CAGUCGAGCGGUAGCACAGGAGAGCUUGCUCCUCUGGGUGACGAGCGGCGGACGGGUGAGUAAUGUCUGGGAAACUGCCUGAUGGAGGGGGAUAACUACUGGAAACGGUAGCUAAUACCGCAUGACCUCGCAAGAGCAAAGUGGGGGACCUUCGGGCCUCACGCCAUCGGAUGUGCCCAGAUGGGAUUAGCUAGUAGGUGGGGUAAUGGCUCACCUAGGCGACGAUCCCUAGCUGGUCUGAGAGGAUGACCAGCCACACUGGAACUGAGACACGGUCCAGACUCCUACGGGAGGCAGCAGUGGGGAAUAUUGCACAAUGGGCGCAAGCCUGAUGCAGCCAUGCCGCGUGUGUGAAGAAGGCCUUAGGGUUGUAAAGCACUUUCAGCGAGGAGGAAGGCGUUGUAGUUAAUAGCUGCAACGAUUGACGUUACUCGCAGAAGAAGCACCGGCUAACUCCGUGCCAGCAGCCGCGGUAAUACGGAGGGUGCAAGCGUUAAUCGGAAUUACUGGGCGUAAAGCGCACGCAGGCGGUUUGUUAAGUCAGAUGUGAAAUCCCCGAGCUUAACUUGGGAACUGCAUUUGAAACUGGCAAGCUAGAGUCUUGUAGAGGGGGGUAGAAUUCCAGGUGUAGCGGUGAAAUGCGUAGAGAUCUGGAGGAAUACCGGUGGCGAAGGCGGCCCCCUGGACAAAGACU